rnacentral:misc_RNA from 1 species
ACCGGCACCUGGCGGGUCCGCGCCUUCACCGAUCCGAAGGCGCCGUCGGUGGGCGAAACCACCUUCAUGGUCGAGGAUUACGUCGCUGACCGGAUCGAAUUCACUCUAACUUCCAAGGCGAAGCAGAUCACGGCUGAACUUCCAGCAGAACUUGAGGUCGAUCCUUUACGGCGCGCCCGCGUCCGGCCUCGCUCUCGAAGGCGACAUGCUGGUCGCGACCGCCAC